rnacentral:lncRNA from 1 species
AGGACUUUUGCAAUCGUUGCUGAAAGUCAGUGUUUGUAUUGAUGAAUUGGAUUUUUUGUAAUAAAGUAAUGGCUGGUAUUCUUGACUAUUUUGUGAAAUUGGAGAAACUUUUGCAGUUGAAAUUUAGGGGUAUCUAGAGGAUUGAGUAUGCCGAGCGCAUGCAAAGGUUUGUGUUAAUCUGACGGAACAAAUAGAGGAUAUUUGACCAUUAGUAUAAAGAGGUAUUGGAAGUUAGUAUAUUGGGGUUGUUUAGGAUUUUUGUAAUAUCUGAAGAUCUACUCGCUGGAAUAAGGUGACUUUUGGCACAGUAAGUCAAGGACUUCUAGGCUGUGGUCAAGAUACAUCAGUAUGGAUUAACGGCGUUUUCUUGCAACUUGUAAGUUAGAUUGGAUUGAAACUUCUUGAGCAUUUGGAAGGCUUGCAAAGACACUAGUGG